rnacentral:piRNA from 2 species
UUUAAUGUUGCCUUAUGCUGU